rnacentral:hammerhead_ribozyme from 1 species
AUCUAGUUGACGAGUCCCAAAUAGAACGAAAUAAGCGUCCUAGAU